AUUGAACGCUGGCGGCAUGCCUUACACAUGCAAGUCGAACGGUAACAGGUCUUCGGAUGCUGACGAGUGGCGAACAGGUGAGUAAUACAUCGGAACGUGCCUAGUAGUGGGGGAUAACUACUCGAAAGAGUGGCUAAUACCGCAUGAGAUCUACGGAUGAAAGCAGGGGAUCGCAAGACCUUGUGCUACUAGAGCGGCCGAUGGCAGAUUAGGUAGUUGGUGGGAUAAAAGCUUACCAAGCCGACGAUCUGUGGCUGGUCUGAGAGGACGAUCAGCCACACUGGGACUGAGACACGGCCCAGACUCCUACGGGAGGCAGCAGUGGGGAAUUUUGGACAAUGGGCGCAAGCCUGAUCCAGCAAUGCCGCGUGCAGGAUGAAGGCCUUCGGGUUGUAAACUGCUUUUGUACGGAACGAAAAGCCCCGGGUUAAUACCCUGGGGUCAUGACGGUACCGUAAGAAUAAGCACCGGCUAACUACGUGCCAGCCGCCGCAGUAA
rnacentral:rRNA from 1 species